AACUAUGCCUGGUCAGAACGAAGUCAGGGGAAACUCUGAUGGAGGUUCGUAGCGAUUCUGACGUGCAAAUCGAUCGUCGGAACUGGGUAUAGGGGCGAAAGACUAAUCGAACCAUCUAGUAGCUGGUUCCCUCCGAAGUUUCCCUCAGGAUAGCUGGCGCUUGAUUAAAUCAGUCUCAUCCGGUAAAGCGAAUGAUUAGAGGCCUUGGGGCCGAAACGACCUCAACCUAUUCUCAAACUUUAAAUGGGUGAGAAGUCAGGCUUGCUUAAUCGAAGCUCUGACAAUGGAUGGUGAGUGCCAAGUGGGCCACUCUUGGUAAGCAGGACUGGCGCUGUGGGAUGAACCAAACGUUGGGUUAAGGCGCCCGAAUCGACGCUCAUCAGAUCCCAUAAAAGGCGUUGGUUGCUUAAGACAGCAGGACGGUGGCCAUGGAAGUCGGAA
rnacentral:rRNA from 1 species